UGGGGAAUUUUGGACAAUGGGCGAAAGCCUGAUCCAGCCAUGCCGCGUGAGUGAAGAAGGCCUUCGGGUUGUAAAGCUCUUUUAGUCGGAAAGAAAGAGUUGCAAUGAAUAAUUGUGAUUUAUGACGGUACCGACAGAAAAAGCACCGGCUAACUACGUGCCAGCAGCCGCGGUAAUACGCAGGGUGCGAGCGUUAAUCGGAAUUACUGGGCGUAAAGGGUGCGCAGGCGGUCUUGCAAGUCAGAUGUGAAAGCCCCGGGCUUAACCUGGGAAUUGCGUUUGAAACUACAAGACUAGAGUGCAGCAGAGGGGAGUGGAAUUCCAUGUGUAGCAGUGAAAUGCGUAGAGAUGUGGAAGAACACCGAUGGCGAAGGCAGCUCCCUGGGUUGACACUGACGCUCAUGCACGAAAGCGUGGGGAGCAAACA
rnacentral:rRNA from 1 species